rnacentral:rRNA from 1 species
UCAAUGGACGAGAGUCUGAACCAGCCAAGUCGCGUGAGGGAAGACUGCCCUAUGGGUUGUAAACCUCUUUUAUAAGGGAAGAAUAAGUUCUACGUGUAGAAUGAUGCCUGUACCUUAUGAAUAAGCAUCGGCUAACUCCGUGCCAGCAGCCGCGGUAAUACGGAGGAUGCGAGCGUUAUCCGGAUUUAUUGGGUUUAAAGGGUGCGUAGGCGGUUUAUUAAGUUAGUGGUUAAAUAUUUGAGCUAAACUCAAUUGUGCCAUUAAUACUGGUAAACUGGAGUACAGACGAGGUAGGCGGAAUAAGUUAAGUAGCGGUGAAAUGCAUAGAUAUAACUUAGAACUCCGAUAGCGAAGGCAGCUUACCAGACUGUAACUGACGCUGAUGCACGAGAGCGUGGGUAGCGAACAGGAUUAGAUACCCUGGUAGUCCACGCCGUAAACGAUGCUCACUGGUUCUGUGCGAUAUAUUGUACGGGAUUAAGCGAAAGUAUUAAGUGAGCCACCUGGGGAGUACGUCGGCAACGAUGAAACUCAAAGGAAUUGACGGGGGCCCGCACAAGCGGUGGAACAUGUGGUUUAAUUCGAUGAUACGCGAGGAACCUUACCUGGGUUUAAAUGGGAAAUGUCGUAUUUGGAAACAGGAUUUCUCUUCGGAGCGUUUUUCAAGGUGCUGCAUGGUUGUCGUCAGCUCGUGCCGUGAGGGGUCGGGUUAAGUCCCAUAACGAGCGCAACCCCUACCGUUAGUUGCUAGCAUGUAAUGAUGAGCACUCUAACGGGACUGCCAGUGUAAGGCGAGAGGAAGGCGGGGAUGAUGUCAAAUCAGCAC